ACAUGCCCACAACAUAGUGUUAAUGCACUGAAUGCCAUUAGAACUCUACGGUUAAGUGCAUUCUGGCUAGAGUAAUACUGGGAUAGGUGAUCGCUCAGGAAAUCCUAGUGUUUUACAUGCC
rnacentral:rRNA from 1 species